AGACGGUCGGAUGGCCGCUGUUUGCACUUUCGGGUGCCGAUAGAGGAAAGUCCGGGCUCCACGGAGACACGGUGCCGGGUAACGCCCGGCGGAGGCGACUCCAGGGAAAGUGCCACAGAAAGCAAACCGCCCACCGAAGCCUCGGCGUCGGUGGGUAAGGGUGAAAGGGUGCGGUAAGAGCGCACCGCGUCGGCGGUAACGUCGAUGGCAGGGUAAACCCCACCGGGAGCAAGACCAAAUAGGGAUAACGCGUUCUUUGAACAAGCGGGUUUUCGCGCUGUUAUCCGGGUCGGUCGCAUGAGGCGUUCGGUAACGGACGUCCCAGAUGAAUGGUCAUCACCUCUCAUCUUCGGGUGAGAGCGUACAGAACCCGGCUUACAGACCGUCUG
rnacentral:RNase_P_RNA from 1 species